rnacentral:rRNA from 1 species
UACGAAGGGUGCAAACGUUGCUCGGAAUUAUUGGGCGUAAAGCGCACGUAGGCGGCUUUUCAAGUCCCAUGUGAAAUCCCACGGCUUAACCGUGGAAGUGCAUGGGAAACUGGAAGCUUGAGUACUUAAGAGGAUCGCGGAAUUCCCGGUGUAGAGGUGAAAUUCGUAGCUAUCGGGAGGAACACCAGUGGCGAAGGCGGCGAUCUGGGAAGAUACUGACGCUGAGGUGCGAAAGCGUGGGGAGCAAACAGGG